CUUCUAUGUAGCGAAGACGGUAGUUCGGAGACUCGGACUCCGACCACCCUCCACACGGCCACUGUCAGAAACGAAAGAAAAGAGGAAAGCGAGAUGGAAGAAGACAUUUGCUUUUCUUUUGCCCCGGUUUGAACGAAGCUGACGGAACAGAAGGUGGAUGUGCCAAAGAUGAAAUGCUUUUCCUUAAAGCAAAAGAAUGUACGAGUGGGAAGUGAGAAAGGGAUGGUACGUAGGUGAAUGGUCAUAAAUUUUUGUAUGUAUGUGCUAGCAGCCUAACCCUUUCACUACGUGUUUCACUUAAAGAUUGUUAGCCUCCUUUCUAUCGGGCUGAUGCUGUUCUAGCUAGAGACUACGUAUUUUAACUUUGGUAUACACAUUAAUAUGUUUAGAGCA